UUAUGUUUUAUUCGUUCAUUUUUACGCUUUUAUUCGGUGGUUCGUAAUCGUAAUACAGCAAAAUCUCAAGAUUUGUCUUGUAACCUAGCAACUGCCUUUUCUCGCACAUUUCAAUGCAUACUCACGUGAUUUCUCCACGUAUUCCGCCUAUCUUCAGAGGACGGAACCAUUGAGUUCUAUAAUAACUGGAGCAGCUAUCUCUCAAAAGUUGAUUCAAGUUUGUUUUUGCGUUUGAAUUUCGUAUCAGAGUAAUCAUGUAGACGCAUUUACAUGAAUUUUGAAAAUUUUUGGCCAGAAGAAUCAUCGCAAAGCUCAAAUACUUACCAGUAGUGUCCAAUGAAUGCCAUGGAUGUUGAUUGGAAAAAGGAUAAUUUUGGUUUGGUGAAAAGAUAUAUUAGCCUAUGUGCAUCUUGUGCUUGAGUUGUUUUUAACAAUCUCUGAAAUAAAUGAUUCUGCUGCAAGAA